rnacentral:tRNA from 1 species
UAGCUCAGCUGGUAGAGCAUCUCCCUUUUAAGGAGAGGGUCCUGGGUUCGAACCCC